rnacentral:rRNA from 1 species
CCUACGGGAGGCAGCAGUGAGGAAUCUUGGUCAAUGGGCGCGAGCCUGAACCAGCCAAGUAGCGUGAAGGAUGACUGCCCUACGGGUUGUAAACUUCUUUUAUAAAGGAAUAAAGUGAGGCACGUGUGCCUUUUUGUAUGUACUUUAUGAAUAAGGAUCGGCUAACUCCGUGACAGCAGCCGCGGUAAUACGGAGGAUCCGAGCGUUAUCCGGAUUUAUUGGGUUUAAAGGGAGCGUAGAUGGGUUGUUAAGUCAGUUGUGAAAGUUUGCGGCUCAACCGUAAAAUUGCAAUUGAUACUGGCAGGCUUGAGUACAGUAGAGGUAGGCGGAAUUCGUGGUGUAGCAGUGAAAUGCUUAGAUAUCACGAAGAACUCCGAUUGCGAAGGCAGCUUACUAGACUGCCACUGACAUUGAGGCACGAAAGUGUAGGUAGCAAACAGGAUUAGAUACCCUAGUAGUC